CUUAUCACCACCACCACCACCAUCGCACUACCGCCGCCGCGACUUCCUAAAGCUCAACGGCGGACCUGUUGCGCGCGCACGCCAUUAUUAUUAUUAUUAUUAUUAUUAUUAUUAUUAUUAUAUUUACGAUAUUUAUUUAUUAUUAUGAUAUUUAUAUAUUAAUAGGUAUGCAUAUUAUUAUUACAUAAUGUUAAACACGCAUGUACUUAAACUUUACUAUGAUUAUCAUAAGGCGU